rnacentral:rRNA from 1 species
CAGUCGCCGCGGGAAUACGAAGGGGGCUAGCGUUGCUCGGAAUUACUGGGCGUAAAGGGAGCGUAGGCGGAUCGUUAAGUUGGGGGUGAAAGCCCGGGGCUCAACCUCGGAACUGCCUUCAAUACUGGCGAUCUUGAGUAUGAGAGAGGUGUGUGGAACUCCGAGUGUAGAGGUGAAAUUCGUAGAUAUUCGGAAGAACACCAGUGGCGAAGGCGACACACUGGCUCAUUACUGACGCUGAGGCUCGAAAGCGUGGGGAGCAAACAGGAUUAGAUACCCCUGUAGUCCCUGUCUCUUAUAA